rnacentral:rRNA from 1 species
UACGUAGGGUGCAAGCGUUAAUCGGAAUUACUGGGCGUAAAGGGCGCGUAGGCGGUGUGUCAAGUCAGGUGUGAAAGCCCCGGGCUCAACCUGGGAACUGCAUUUGAGACUGAAGAACUCGAGUUCGGGAGAGGAUGGCGGAAUUCCCAGUGUAGAGGUGAAAUUCGUAGAUAUUGGGAAGAACACCGGUGGCGAAGGCGGCCAUCUGGACCGAGACUGACGCUGAGGGGCGAAAGCGUGGGGAGCGAACGGG